UACGUAGGGUGCGAGCGUUAAUCGGAAUUACUGGGCGUAAAGCGUGCGCAGGCGGUUUGCUAAGACAGGUGUGAAAUCCCCGGGCUUAACCUGGGAACUGCGCUUGUAACUGGCAAGCUAGAGUGUGGCAGAGGGGGGUGGAAUUCCACGUGUAGCAGUGAAAUGCGUAGAGAUGUGGAGGAAUACCGAUGGCGAAGGCAGCCCCCUGGGAUGACACUGACGCUCAUGCACGAAAGCGUGGGGAGCAAACAGG
rnacentral:rRNA from 1 species